CCUUAACUAUUUAGACAGUAUCGCUUUGGUCCCUUAAUUAAAAUUCGAUUUAUUUUAAUUUUAUAAUUAAGGGACCAAAGCGAUACUAUCUAAAUAGUUAAGGGAC
rnacentral:pre_miRNA from 2 species